CCUACGGGAGGCAGCAGUGAGGAAUAUUGGUCAAUGGGCGCGAGCCUGAACCAGCCAAGUAGCGUGAAGGAUGACUGCCCUACGGUUUGUAAACUUCUUUUAUAAAGGAAUAAAGUGAGGCACGUGUGCCUUUUUGUAUGUACUUUAUGAAUAAGGAUCGCCUAACUCCGUUCCAUCAGCCGCGGUAAUACGGAGGAUCCGAGCGUUAACCGGAUUUAUUGUGUUUAAAGGGAGCGUAGAUGGGUUGUUAAGUCAGUUGUGAACGUUUGCGGCUCAACCGUAAAAUUGCAAUUGAUACUGGCAGUCUUGAGUACAGUUGAGGUAGGCGGAAUUCGUGGUGUAGCGGUGAAAUGCUUAGAUAUCACGAAGAACUCCGAUUGCGAAGGCAGCUUACUAAACUGCCACUGACAUUGAUGCUCGAAAGUGUGGGUAUCAAACAGGAUUAGAUACCCUUGUAGUC
rnacentral:rRNA from 1 species